rnacentral:rRNA from 1 species
AUGACUCCAACGACGAAGUUGAGCAUUCCCUCGAUGACGGCAAUGGAUGCGAGCAUGAUCGACUUCAUGCCAGCAAAGAAGCCGACGAUGAGGCGGACCUCGUUGAACACACGCGAGCUGCUUCUGCGGAGCGUACGCACGCCGGCGGAAGACGCGGGGCGCGGCCAACGCACCGGCGGGCGCGGACGCGGGCACGGCCAAGGCGCAGGCGGGCGCGGACGCGGGGACGGCCACGGCCAACGUGCCGGCGGGCGGGGACGCGCGCGAGGCCAACAUGCAGAUGGACCCGGCCAUGCAGUGGACGCAACGCAGGCUUCACAGGUGGAUCACCGAGGCGCUGGUGGACGAGGCCACGCAGAGGAUGGAAUACAGUGCAAGCCGCCGGUGAAUCCAGCGGAGAAGUGGUGGCCGGUGUCCUUUUGCACGAUGGUUUCGCUCAGAAGUAGGAAGACCUUCUAUCCUGGGGCGAUCCGGCUUGGUACAACCAGGGCCUAUCUCUUCGACGGCGAACAUGUUCUUAUAGAUUCUCGUGCGCGCCGGACCGGUGAAGUAUUCAUCCAGGGAACGGUUGUCAUGUUCCCCUGCCAUCUUGCGAACAUCACCACCGGUGACCAAGGAGUUGAUGCGGCAGGUUCUAUGUGCGCACACGACUCAGGCCAUAGAGAAGAUGCUGCUGGUGGAUGCGAUGGCUCGGAAGUGGAAGAAGCUGCCAGUAUGCACGCGGGCCUCGGACGUGCUCGUGGUGCAAAUGAUGUCGUGCUUAAACGCGUGCGUGCGGCGCUACUUGCUGGUCCUGUCGUCGGGCGUGGCCGUGGAGGUGACGACAAUGCCGUCGGGGACGCCAGUGACGCUCGACAUGGUCGUCGACGCUUGGGCUUGGCUGGUCGCAGCAGAAUGCGCCUGGCUCUGACGAAGUGGCAAGGCGGCCGUACCGAAGUUGUUCCAUCUUCGCUAAAUGGCAGCAGCAAUGAUGCAACCAGCCCUGCCGACGUUAACGAAGGUGACUGUACAGAAAGUGUUUCAUCUUCAGUAAAUGGCAGCGGCAAUGAUGCAACCAGCCCCGCCGGCAACGUUAACCCAUGCAUCCGUGUGGAGUUGAACAAAGGUGUUGUUCCAGAGAGUGACCCUGGAGUACAAGCUGAAGUAGCUGACACCGGCAGCAACAAUGGCUCAAAUGCUAAUCAAAAAAAGAAGCGAAGAUGGUACCCAGACCAUCAAAAGCAAGAAAUUUAUGCCAUGCUAUUAGAGCGGACAAAUCAAGGCGUACUAAACCAAGGGGUGGUUGACGAGGUGGCAGAGCUUUGUCAAGUUAAUUACCGGACUGUUCAAAACAUAUGGUCGAGAGGCAAAAAAGCCGGUGGUAUUCAUGGAGUAGCAAACAAAAGGGUGAAAACUUGUGGCCGCAAGAAGAUACCGUUUGAUUCAGAUGCCAUAAAAAAGAUUGAAUUGAGCAAAAGAACUACGCUCAAAGAUCUUGCUAAUGAGCUUCAAAUGGCGAAGACAACUUUAUGGAGAAGGUUGAAGGAGGGCAGACUGAAGCGCCAUACAAAUUCAAUUAAAUCCACAUUGACUGAUGACAACAAGGUGGGUUGGAUUCGGUUUUGUUUAUCCAUGUUGGAUGAGCAAAGUGUGCCUGAAGAACCCAGAUUUAAAGGCACAAAUGAUAUAAUAUUUUUCUAA